UUGAACUAGAAAGAUAUGAAAGCAGUUCGGAGGACUUUCAAGACACAUCCCUCGUAAAGCAGCCUGAGGAAAAACUGUAUUAGGCUUUGACUACACUACGCACCUUUUAGCGACACAGCUACGUCAUUACAGCCGUGCCGCUAAAAGGCGCGUAGUGUAGCCGCUGUUUGUUGGCAGGAAAGCACUCUCUCGCCGAUAAAAACCUUCCACCCCCAAUGAGCAGCACUAGCCAAAGCACUGUUCACACUGGUGCUUUUCCUCAACAAAACUUUUGUCUUCUGGCAGGGGGAGGGGAGGAUGUUUUUAACACCUCUGAACGACAAAAGUUUUGUCAUUCAGUUGCAAGUGUAGACAAAUCCUUAGGCUCAACUACAUGUGGGAUGGGUCACGGCAGAGAAGGGUGAUUCACAAUCAGUAACUAGGUCCUGGACAGAUUCAAUGGGUAAGAGGUCACCCAAAGAUCGGAAGAGGGAUGAGAAAUAUGGGGAAGUUAGACAAAUACAGAGGAUUAUCAGAAAUGCAAAGAGAGGCUGUGAAUAGAUCUCCCUGGAAUACCAAGCAACUCCGAUUUUAUGUCUGAAGUACAAAGGUAAGUGAUCAGCCAAGGAGAAAGAACAUUACAGAAUGGAAUGAGAAAUGAGGGCGCACACGAGGAUAAAGCAGCUGAAGUGUUAAAUGACUUUCCCCUAAAAAUGUACUGUAUAUAUAAGGGGCAAGCCAGCCUCUGGCUCCGUCUCAGCUUGAGCUGCAGCCGUGGGCCCUCACACUGAGUGACUCCAUGAGCGGGGGCACAGAGCUCCAUGGAGGAGAAGGGGAUACUAGCAGAGUUAUCCAAUCGGCUACAUGCACUUGUCAGGGCUGACUGAGUAGAAGAAACUCAUCCAUAGGAAGAGAAAGGACUCAAGCCUGUGUGUGUGAGUUCAGUGAUGGAAACUGGUUGAGAAGACAUUCAAAGGGUCCCUUCAUCUUCUCUUCAAGUCUGCUUUUGGGUAUGCAGAAAAUGCCACUUCUUCCUCCCAUACCAGAAGACUGCAAACUUAGAAUGUUGUCACAUUUAUCCACGCUUCUAUCACGUCAAUCCUGCAUUGCUGGAACACACCAUUGCGACAGCCCUGGAUGAGCCUUCAGAAACAUCAGCAAGUGCAGCUUCUGAGUGGAAUGGAUCACUUGGAGAACAUAUCACUCGUGCUGCACGAUACCUGCUCACUGCCUAUCCAGUUCCCAUCACAGUUUGAGAAGUCAGAGAAUCCUAAAAUCCUACAUUGUUCUGAAACCCAGUUAUUUAAAGGAUCACUUUGUUCUAGCAGCAGAUUGAAGGUCCACUUGGGUAUCUCUGCUGUCAGUGCCUGAAAAUCAUUUGUGGUGGGUGUGAUAAAUAAAGGGGGGCGGGGGAGGUAGCUCCCUUUGAUGGACACCCAGCCAGCCAGUUAGCUGUAAAAUCCCUCUUGGUAGCUGUUCUUUACUAACUUUACCUGUAAAGGGAUAAAAAGUCCCCCAGGUAAAGAAAAAAAAGUGGGCACCUGACCAAAAGAGCCAAUGGGAAGGCUAGAACCUUUUAAAAUGGGAAAAGAAACUUUCCCUUUGUUUGUGGUUGCUCUCUCUGGGCUGCAGGAACACAGCGCAGCAAUGCUGUGUACGGUUUGAACCAGGUAUAAAAAAUUAUUUUCCAUACCUAGCAGGACUCAUUGGGAUAGCAAAUGUUUAGAUAGAUGCGAUCAGGUUUAUUUCUUUAUUUUGGCUUGUGGAUCUCCUCUGUGCUAACCCCAGAUGUUUUUGUUUGCUUGUAACCUUUAAGCUGAACCCCCAACAAACUACUUUGGGUGCUUAACUUUUGGAAUUGCUCCUUUAAAAUCUAGCAAAACCCUAAGUUCCAAACGUAUUUUCUUUCUUUUUGUUUUUAAUAAAAUUUAGCUUUUUAAGAACAGGAUUGGA